CUGGCUCAGGACGAACGCUGGCGGCGUGCUUAACACAUGCAAGUUGAACGGUAUGACAUGGAAGCUUGCUGAAGUGUCAUAUAGUAGCGGACGGGUGAGUAAUGCAUGAGAAGCUGCCAUUGGGAGGGGGACAACAGUUGGAAACGGCUGCUAAUACCCCGUAUGCCGGAGGGUGAAAGGGAGUAAUCCGCCCGAUGAGGUGCUCAUGUCCUAUCAGCUGGUUGGUGGGGUAACGGCCUACCAAGGCGACGACGGGUAGCCGGCCUGAGAGGGUGAACGGCCACACUGGAACUGAGAUACGGUCCAGACUCCUACGGGAGGCAGCAGUGGGGAAUAUUUGGGCAAUGGGGGCAACCCUGACCCAGCGACGCCGCGUGGGGGAAGACGGCCUUCGGGUUGUAAACCUCUUUUGUACGGGAAGAAGGAAGUGACGGUACUGUACGAAUAAGUCCCGGCUAACUACGUGCCAGCCGCUGC
rnacentral:rRNA from 1 species